rnacentral:rRNA from 1 species
GACGAACGUUGGCGGCGUGCUUAACACAUGCAAGUCGAACGGUAAGGCCCUUCGGGGUACACGAGUGGCGAACGGGUGAGUAACACGUGGGUGAUCUGCCCUGCACUUCGGGAUAAGCCUGGGAAACUGGGUCUAAUACCGGAUAGGACCACUGCCUGCAUGGGUGGUGGUGGAAAGCUUUUGCGGUGUGGGAUGGGCCCGCGGCCUAUCAGCUUGUUGGUGGGGUGGUGGCCUACCAAGGCGACGACGGGUAGCCGGCCUGAGAGGGUGACCGGCCACACUGGGACUGAGAUACGGCCCAGACUCCUACGGGAGGCAGCAGUGGGGAAUAUUGCACAAUGGGCGCAAGCCUGAUGCAGCGACGCCGCGUGAGGGAUGACGGCCUUCGGGUUGUAAACCUCUUUCAGCACCGACGAAGCGCAAGUGACGGUAGGUGCAGAAGAAGGACCGGCCAACUACGUGCCAGCCGCCGCGGUAA